CCCUUAGAUGUUCUGGGCCGCACGCGCGCUACACUGAUGCAUUCAACGAGUCCAACCUUGACCGAGAGGUCCGGGUAAUCUUUGAAACUGCAUCGUGAUGGGGCUAGAUUAUUGCAAUUAUUAAUCUUCAACGAGGAAUGCCUAGUAAGCGUGAUUCAUCAAAUCGCGUUGAUUACGUCCCUGCCCUUUGUACACACCGCCCGUCGCUCCUACCGAUUGAGUGUGUUGGUGAGGAGUUUGGAUUGGCCUCGGAAGGUGUUUCGCCACCGUCCGUAGCUGAGAAGUUCUCCAAACCGCCCCACUUAGAGGAAGGAGAAGUCGUAACA
rnacentral:rRNA from 1 species